AUUGAACGCUGGCGGCAUGCUUUACACAUGCAAGUCGAACGGUAACAGGCCUUCGGGUGCUGACGAGUGGCGAACGGGUGAGUAAUGCAUCGGAACGUGCCCAGAGGUGGGGGAUAACGCAGCGAAAGCUGUGCUAAUACCGCAUGUGAUCUGAGGUUGAAAGCGGGGGACCAGGCAGCACUGUUUGGCCUCUCGCCUUUGGAGCGGCCGAUGUCCGAUUAGGGAGUUGGUGGGGUAAAGGCCUACCAAGCCGACGAUCUGUAGCUGGUCUGAGAGGACGACCGGCCACACGGGUAAUGAGACACGGACCAGACUCCUAAGGGAGGCACGAGUCGGGAAUCUUCGACAAUGGGCGGGAGCGUGUUCCAGCAAUGGCGCGUACGGGAAGAAGGCCUUCGGGUUGUAAACGGCGUUUGUACGGAACGAAAAGGCUCUGGCUAAUACCUGGAGAUGAUGACGGUACCGUAAGAAUAAGCACCGGCUAACUACGUG
rnacentral:rRNA from 1 species